UGAAAUGAUGAUAGUUAAUGUCGCCCCAGUCUUAAUUUGCACCAAAAGGUGUAAGAUGGUGCUGGACAUUCUUAUCUGAUUA